GACGAACGCUGGCGGCGUGCUUAACACAUGCAAGUCGAACGGAAAGGCCCUGCUUUUGUGGGGUGCUCGAGUGGCGAACGGGUGAGUAGCACGUGAGUAACCUGCCCUUGACUUUGGGAUAACUUCAGGAAACUGGGGCUAAUACCGGAUAGGAGCUCCUGCUGCAUGGUGGGGGUUGGAAAGUUUCGGCGGUUGGGGAUGGACUCGCGGCUUAUCAGCUUGUUGGUGGGGUAGUGGCUUACCAAGGCUUUGACGGGUAGCCGGCCUGAGAGGGUGACCGGCCACAUUGGGACUGAGAUACGGCCCAGACUCCUACGGGAGGCAGCAGUGGGGAAUAUUGCACAAUGGGCGGAAGCCUGAUGCAGCAACGCCGCGUGCGGGAUGACGGCCUUCGGGUUGUAAACCGCUUUCGCCUGUGACGAAGCGUGAGUGACGGGAAUGGGUAAAGAAGCACCGGCGAACGACG
rnacentral:rRNA from 1 species